rnacentral:rRNA from 1 species
CCCUUAGAUGUUCUGGGCCGCACGCGCGCUACACUGAUGCAUUCAACGAGCCUAUCCUUGACCGACAGGUCCGGGUAAUCUUUGAAUCUGCAUCGUGACGGGGAGAGAUUAUUGCAAUUAUUAAUCUUCAACGAGGAAUGCCUAGUAGGCGCAAGUCAUCAGCUUGCGUCGAUUACGUCCCUGCCCUUUGUACACACCGCCCGUCGCUCCUACCGAUUGGGUGUGCUGGUGAAAUGUUCGGAUCGGCCGUUUGUCGCGGUUUCCGCGUCAUGUGGCUGAGAAGUUCAUUAAACCCUCCCACCUAGAGGAAGGAGAAGUCGUAACA